GCAUGGGCGAAUUCUGGUCCAGCUGCUCUGUGCUGGAUACAGUCAGACACCAUGCAACAGCCACGUCUCAUUUCCACUAAAUUAGUGGAUGAGUGCCUUCCUCAAGCUCAUCCAGCUGCGUGGGAAUGAGUACAAAC
ensembl:snoRNA small nucleolar RNA SNORA15